AAGAGAUAAAAUGCACAUAAAGUACGCGUGGUAUGUAUGGAAUGGUUCGUUUAGUAGUUGGCUUGGGGAAGAAGCAAAGCAAGAGACGAAGCGAGGUUGUUAACCGAGUAGGAACGGUUAGGUGGACCCCCGUCCCAGUGCGGUCACCUCUUCGUCUUGUUUAUCCUUUCUCAAACCAAACGAACUACCUACCAAGUUAGAGCCCGGCAGAGAGGAGAGAGGAGAGAGGAGAGAGAUUUCUGUUUUCUUCUGUUACGAGGUCUCUGGGGAUUAAGUAGGCAGUUGGAGGGGAGUUCGGUGGAGAAGGAGAAGGAGAAGGAGAAGGAGAGCGGAGAUGGAGCUACGCGAUGAGUACCAGAAGCUGGUUCAUGUAAUGAUGAACACUCCGAGGGUGGCGAUCGACAAUGCGGUGUCGCCGACGGCGACGGUGGUGAAGGUAAACAGCGCCCGGAAGCGGGGAAUGCUUCUGGAGGCCGUGCAGGUGCUAACGGACCUCGACCUUAGCAUCCAGAAGGGCUAUAUCUCCUCCGACGGCUGCUGGUUCAUGGACGUUUUCCACGUCACGGACGAGAGCGGACACAAACUCCUCGACCCCGAGCUACUCUCCCGUAUUGAGCGAACCCUCGGCGGGGAGACCUUAUUGGCGACGGAUGGAGCAGAUUGUCAGUACGGCUCCGGUUUGGCGGGCCUGACGGCGAUGGAACUCACCGGCACCGACCGCCCUGGCCUCCUGUCGGAGGUAUUCGCCGUGCUCCGGGACUUGGAGUGCAACGUGGUGGAGGCUAAGGUGUGGACUCACAACGCAAGGAUUGCCUCCCUUAUCUUCGUGAAGGACCUCCACUCAGGAUCCCCGAUAGAGGACGGCCACCGCGUUCACCGGAUUGAAUCCCGACUCCGCCACGUUCUGCGCGGCGACCACGACGUCCGCAGCGCUAAGACCACCGUCUCCUCCCCCACCCUAACCCACUCUGACCGCCGCCUUCACCAACUCAUGUUCGCGGACCGCGACUACGAGCGCGUAUCCAGUACCGGCUACCAAGCAACCUGCGCUUCCUCGCAGUCAAAGCCGUCAGUCUCUGUUCAAAACUGUGAAGAACGCGGCUACUCAGUGGUCAAUGUUCAAUGCUGCGACCGCCCCAAGCUCCUGUUCGACGUUGUCUGCACGAUCACCGACAUGGAUUAUGUCGUCUUCCACGGCACUCUCGGCGUCGACUCCGAUCGAGCCUAUCAGGAAUUCUACAUUCGUCACAUAGACGGCGGUCCAAUAAGCUCCGAAGCUGAGCGGCUACGAGUAAUCCAAUGCGUCCAAGCUGGCAUCGAGCGCAGAGCCUCCGAGAUCUCCGCCCAAAUCAAACAGGGAGUCUGGCUAGCCCUGUCCAUGCCGGACAGGCGGGGCUUGCUCGCCGAAGUAACUCGCAUCUUCCGCGAGAACGGGCUCUCCGUAAGGCGGGCGGAGAUCACGACUAGGGACGGCGAGGCGAAGAACGAAUUCUGCGUCACCGACACCGGCGGGCAGCUGCCGGACUGCUGCGCCAUCCACGCCGUCAUCGAGAAGAUCGGCGAAGAGCACCUCACAUUGAACGAGCAAAAGGCGCCGUGGUCGUGCGGCCGGCAGCCACCAGCGGCCGAGGCGGUCGGUGCUUUCAAUUUAGGGAACCUCGUGAAGAGGAAUCUCUACUACCUCGGCCUGGUCAGAUCAUGUUCUUAGCCCUGCGAGGAAGCACCGUCUCAAUCACAUGCGCAGCAGGCACUUUGCUUGCUCGUGGAAAAGAUUAGUAGUCAGCCUACACAUGGUGUGUUGCACGUGAUUUGUGCAGAUAAUGGUGGAUAGAGAGUUAAAGCUGUUAAGCCGUAGCUCUGGAGUCUUGGCCAGCAAUAGACAGAAAGGUCGAGGGAACUAUAUUAUUAGCAACAUUGGGAAAGCAAAUGGUGGUUUGCAGCAGUCGCAGAACUGCUCAGAUACUUGGUAUGGAGUCUUAUUUUCUUGAUGAAGAUUUAUAAUAUAUUAUCGAUGGAGGAAACAUUGUUGAUCCAGACAAUAUACCAGCAAAUGCUGAGAAUUUCAAAAAGUGAAAGCAACAAAAUGCAAAGGCUGAGUUUAUUCUAAACAGAAAAGUAUCUCUUGGCCUGUUUUUAUCAUAUUUUGAUCAGCUCAUGAAAUCUAGCAAACUCUUGAUCGAUUAUUCAACAAAUUUUGGAGAAUGACCUUACAAAUACUAUACAAGGCAAUCUUUCUAUAUCAGAGUAUUUUAUGAGGAUUAAAAAUGUAUGUUUGGAAAAUUCUCUUUUAAAUCCAGAAGAAACAAUUUCUUAAGGUCGUAUAUGGGGAAAUAUCAUUCGAGGAUUGAAGUCAGAAUCUAUUCCCUUUAUUACAUCAAUACAAGGGUGGGCUCAACAAUCGUCUUUGGAGGAGUUAGAGAAGCUUCUAUCAUCACAAGUGUCACUAGCUAAGCAAAUGGCUAGUAUUUCUAUCAAAGAAGAUGGAAGUGCUCUUGUAGCAAUAAAGAAAAGCUUUAAGGGAAAAGGAUAUCAACGCAACUCAACUCCAUGUAAAGAGGAAGAAGACUUAUAAUAUCACAGAAAAGAAGAUUUUUAAAUGCUACAGAUGCGGUAAAAUAGGGCAUAUUAAGAAAUUUUGCCGAACCAAGUUAAAUGAAGGUAAUGUUGCUGAAUCAGAAAAAAUUGAAAAGGAAGAAGAUUGAAGAAAGUGCUUUAUGACAGAAACACAAAGUAUAGGUGUCAUGACUAUCAAAAAUUUUGAGAAUGACUGUAUUAUAGAUUCUGGUUAUGGGCAUUUUCUUACUGGAGAUAAAUCUAAAUUUUCCAGCCUUCAAGAAUACAAUGGUUGUGUUGCCAUUCUAACAGCAGAUAACACAGUUCAUCAUGUGGAGAAUAAAGGUACUAUUGUCAUCAACCAAAAGCAUAAAAGAUUCGAUUACACUCGAUGGUGUGUUUCAUGUUUCCAGGUAGGAAGAUUUUUUUUUUUUUCAAUUGCAAAUGUUGUAGAUACUGAAAACUUGUGUUUUUGGCCCAAAAGAUGUGAAGUUUCUUCAAAAUAUCAAGGAGCUUAAGGCAGAUGUUAUUCA